UGUUACUUGACCUUUUUCCCU
rnacentral:piRNA from 1 species